ensembl:lncRNA
UGUGUGUGUGUGUGUGUGUGAUUAUAGCAGCUAUUAAUACAGCUCACAUUCAUUGAUUAUUUAUUAUUCACUAGUCAUUCUGCUAAUCCUCAAAGCAAAUCUAAAAGUCUAUUAAAUCCAUUUUUUGGGGAAAAUGGACUGAGGUUUGUGGAGCUCCAGGACAUUGUGUGUUGCUCAGUCAUGGCCAACUGUUUGCAGCCGCAUGGACUAUAGCCUGCCAGGCUCGUCUGUCCAUGGGAUUUUCCAGGCAAGAAUUCUGGAGCGGUUGCCACUUCCUACUCCAGGGGAUCUUCCUUACCCAGAGAUGGAACCUGUGUCUCCUGCAUCUCCUGCAUUGGCAGAUGGAUUCUUCACCACUAGCGCCACCUGGGAAGGCCCUCUAGGACAUUAACUUGUAAGUAAAACAUGUUAGCUCACCAGCUGAUGUGUGCUUUCCCUGACAUUCUCCCUUUCACAGAAUGCGUUUCACUGGUUACUGACUGUUUUUGUGGGCUUGAAAAUAUGCAUCUGUACUCAGAGGGGACUCACUCUUAUUUCUUACCUCCUCUUACACUGAAUACCCCAAAGUGGUUGCUCAAGGUUAAAUCCCAGAUCACUGUGAAGGGAACAAAGGAUGUGAUUCCUGCUUCCUAAUCUUUUUCUAGGAUUCCUGCAUUUCCAGGUACCCAGUAUCUCAGUUGCUUUUUCCCGGUUAUCCCUUUCUAUUGCAGCCUGCCUAUGAUGGUUAAUUUUAUGUAUCAAUUUGAGUGGAUCACAGGGUGUUCAUAUAUUUUGGCUAAACAUUUUUUUCUGGUUGUGUCUGUACAGAUGUUUCUGAAUGGGAUUUGAAGCUAUAGAUUGAGUAAAGCAGAUUGCCCUCCCUAAUGUAGGUGGGUUUCAUCCAAUCUAUCGAGGGCCUUGAAUAGAACAAAAAGAUGGCAGGUGGAGAAUUCACUCUCCAUCCAACUCUUUGAGCUGAGACAUCAGUCUUCUCCCAUGCUUGGACUGGAACCAUCAGCCCUUUGUUUUCAGGCCUUUGGACUCAAACUGAACUGCAUCACCAGCUCUUCUGGGUCUUCAGCUUGCAGAUGGCAGAUCAUGAGGCUUCUCAACUGCCAUAAUCAUGCUGCUCCAAGUGGCCCAGCCCAACCUGAAGCCAGUGGGCACAGGAGCACAUCCACAGAGGGCAAACUUCAGCUUCAUGAGAAGUGUGGAAAGUGGAUGAAUGGAAGACAUCUCUGCAACAGACCCCAAGGAAGAAUAAAUUCUGCCAAUUAAACUAUGAGACACUGUUCCCUUGUCACUUGAAAUUUCUGUGUUACACCUACUGAAAGAGCUGUUAGACAUAUAAAAGGAAUUUGUUUUUGUCAUGUAGUACUUUUCUGGAUUUAAGAUAACUUCACAUUUCAAUACUGAACAAAAGUACAAUUUUUUGGAAAACAUUUUGUGGCAAAUAUUUUUUCCCCAAAGGUGAUCACGAUAACAGCUCUUGCCCAACAUGUGCUUCUGGCACCUCACGACUGCCACACUGAGAGGGGAAGUCUAGUUUCUCCUCGCUCGAAUCUAGGCUCUUUUGUGACUUGCUUGUAACCGAUGGACAGCAUCUGACACGGUGCCUCAUGACUUCUGAAGCCAGCUCUGAAAAUGAUAGUGUAAAUUCCACCUUGUUUGCUUGAAUAGUUGCUCUGGAGCCCAGAGCUUCCAUGUUAACAGUCUGACUGGUCUCUGGCCACCAUGUUCGGAGGAACCCAAACUAAUAAAACUCAGAAGGAUUCCAGGGAGAAGUCUCGGGACUAGUGAAGAGAGAUCGAUGCUUUGCCAGUUUCCAGCUUCUCCUGCUCCCUGCCUCAGUUGUUCUGGUUCCAGCCAAUCUGGGACUGCAGUCUCAUGAGAGAUGUUUUAACCAGAAGCAUCCAGUCAAGAUUUCCUGAAUUCCUGCCCCACAGAAAGUGUGAGAUGAUAAAAUGAUUGCUGUUGUUUUAAGCCAUUGAGUUUUGAAGUGAUUAGCUAUGUAACAAGAGUAACCAAAGCAAUUUUGAAUGCCAGUUAUACUCAACAGAUGUAGUGCCAGUGAUGUCUGUAAUUAACUGAAGUGAUGACAGUAAGAAUAACUGUAACCAAGUUUGCACAGGUGGUGAUAACUAUGUCAUCUUGGCCAGUAUCCUGGCCAAAAACAUUUGUGAAGUGCCAUACAUUUUAAGAUGCUUCCUAGUGAGAAAGAAAAUGCAGUUUAGUACUGACAAAAUGUGGUAGUAUUGGUGUUGAGAGAGGGACAAAACUAAGUAGGGUUGGGAACUGGUUGGUAAAGUGAUUUUGAAAAAGCUUAAUAUUUAAUAGUUAAGAUGAUACAUACUCAUUUACUCAAUAAAUAAAUAUCAAAUGAGAACAACCUAUUUAGGUCAUGAAACCACCAAAUGUAACCAUCCAGAGAUCAACAUUCAGAUUUCUAAAGGCACAUGGAUGCAUUUAUAGAUAUGUGGACAUAUACUUUAUAAUUGAAUUCAUCCUUUACUGCAGCCUACUAUUUCACCAGUCAAAAAUGUGCUAACUUCAUGUUUCUACCUCAAAAGAUGUAAAACUACAUUCUUUUAUUUUAAUGAUAGCAGAGUCUCUCAUUUACUUUACCAAUCACCCAGUGAUGGACAUUUUGUUUUGUCUCAUUUCAGGGUUGCUUUAUCAUUAUUAAAACAACGGGCAUGUUGAUGCCCUCCCCCCACCCCCCACCAUUUUGUAGCUGUCUUUUUGUGGAGUUUUCUACAUAUGAGAUCUUUGGGUUGAAUCAGAUGUGCCAUUAUAAUUUGGUAUGGAUUGACAAAAGUGCCUUCCAGAAAGGCUGUAUCCAUUCUUACUUAUAUAAAAAGUUUUGGAAAAUGCCAGUUUUCUCUCUCCUUUGCCGAUGAAGGAGUUCAGAGUGUGUCACCCCCAUAAUACAUGAUUUAUUUAUUAUUUUGCAUUAAAGUCACUUGAGAGAUGGUGGAUGCAAGAUGGGCGUUCAGACCCUCCUUUUUAUUCCUGAAGGCAAGAGAUAAAACUCCCUUGUGAAAGGUGCCCUUUCUGUACCAGGAGAAAGGAAGAUGUUCUUAUCACCAAAGACACAGAACUGAGGCAGAAAGAAAUCUGUACACACAGACCUUGUUCAAAUAAUUCUUAUCUUCCUUUAGCCUCUCUAUAUUGUUUAGUUACUUUUCUCAUGGAGAAGGAGAUGGCAAUCCACUCCGAUAUUCUUGCCUGGAGAAUCCCGUGGACAGAGGAGCCUGGAGGACUACAGUCCAUGGGGUGGCAAAGAGUCAGACACAACUGAGCCACUGAACCACUUUUCACAAUUGCUUCCUUUUUUUGAGGGGCUAAUAUAAAAGCAUGUAGGUUCUGCUAUUUCUUUUACUCUGCAUUCCUUAUGAAGGCUCCCAUGUCAUGUAAAUUUUAAUAUGAGUGUGUAUACUUUUCUCCCUUAGUCUAUCUUAUGUCAGAUUAAUUCUCAGGCCAUGCUGAAAAAUCCUAAGAGGGUGGGAGUAAAAAUCUGCCUCCUCCAUACCAACAUUUGUUUUUUGUCAUUCAUCUGAUCCUAGUCCUAUGGUUUAAAAAGAUUUCUUUUUUGUUGUUCUUGUGUGUGUUUUGGAAAAUAAUGAAACUGAACAUCUUUUCCUACUUUUUGUCCAUUUUAAUUUCUCCUUUUGUGAAUUUAUUAUUCAUAGUCUUUGACCAUUUUUUAUAGUUGAUUUGUAAGGGCUCUUUGUCCAUCCUGU